UACGGAGGGUGCGAGCGUUAAUCGGAAUUACUGGGCGUAAAGCGUCCGCAGCCGGUGAUAUAAGUCUGUUUUCAAAUACCAGAGCUCAACUUUGGAAAGGGAAUAGAUACUGUAUCGCUCGAGACCAGUAGAGGUUAGUAGAAUUUCCUGUGGAGGGGUGAAAUCCGUUGAUAUAGGAAGGAAUACCAAAAGCGAAGGCAGCUAACUAUACUGAGUCUGACGGUCAGGGACGAAAGUCUGGGUAGCAAACGGG
rnacentral:rRNA from 1 species